UACUAAUGUAAACAAAAAUUUAUCAUUAGAAGGGAUGUGGUUCUUUUAUUGUUUUAUUGUUGCCAAUUCUUUCCUAUGCUUUUCUUGCCAAGCUUACUGUGCUCUGGAAAGUGAUAUACAAUAACCAAAAACUGUUGAUAUAAUAUGUUCUUUUCUCUCAUUUUAUACUACUUUUCAUCCUGCUAUUGCUAUAUUUGUCAGAUGGUUGAAUGAUAUCUUUAUCAUUCAGCUAUCUGACAAAAGAGAGCUGGAUUCUAUAAAAUAACAACAACUUGUUGGUAGCUGUAUUGCUGGUUGGUCAUUUAUCAGAUUCUCUCUCCCUUGUCCAAGCACAAGGAUAUAGGAUCUUACCAAAGCUGUUACUCUAGAUGUAUAUGGUCUCACCCUAAGGAUGGAACAAGUAAGCCAAGAGACUAUACGCUAUUUGGACAUCAAGGUAACCAUAGAUAAUGGAAUGCUGAAGACAUUGGUGUAUAGGAAACCCAUAUAUGAACCAGUACUGAUACCCAAUUGGUCCCAAGAUCUGUUGGUAUACAAGAAAACUGCCUUUAGGUAUUUUUCAGGAGGGCUAUACUGUACAGUAUGGAGCCUGGCACUUUGAAACAGGAGAUAGAUUAUAUUAUGAGUAUUGGUCAACAACAUGAGUACAGAAAAUAAUUUUUUUUACACAUUCAUUAGAUUGUGCAGAAUAACCUUAACAAGAUAACUGAUAUCAAUGUACAAAUACUGCAACAACCAUCCCAGUAGAAAGGGUAUCUAAUUAUGCAAUAUAGUUUUAAAAGAUUUAAUUUGUAAAUAAAGUAGCCAGGAAAACAAACAAGAAACUGAUGUUUCAGAGGGGACAAACA
rnacentral:lncRNA from 1 species